GUUCUUGUAGUUGAAUAACAACAGUGGUUUUUCAAGCCAUCAGUCCUGGUUAAAUUCCUGGCAGGAAUU
rnacentral:tRNA from 2 species